GGCUUGUAGCCGCUAUUGAGAUCUGAGCUGCCCCCCUGCAUUUUAAGAAUCCAAGACUGAAUUCACCUCCAAGACCAAGCCACCUGAGAAGCUGGGAUAUACAGACAUGGUGUGGCUUGCAUUUGUUGUUCUUCUUCUUAAUGAAGAACUAGAGUGAACCUGUCUUUUCCUAGCCAGGAAGGCUAUGAUGACAGGCUGUUGGUCAACUGAUGAAUUAUUGGAAGUCUAUUACUGCAGGAACCAGGGGCCUAUUGUUUUAUGGAUACAAUUCAGGGGACCCAUGUAUUUGGAUGCAGAAAAUCAUCAUUUUAUUUUCAUAACCUCCUUCAUUUAUGGAUGCAGGAAUCAAAAACAUUUGUUAUCAAUACUUAUGACUAUGCUACUCAGAGAAAUCAGAGAUUUUUAAAAUUACAUAUUAAAGUUAUAUAUAUCCAA
rnacentral:lncRNA from 1 species